rnacentral:rRNA from 1 species
UACGUAGGGCGCAAGCGUUGUCCGGAAUUAUUGGGCGUAAAGAGCUCGUAGGCGGCUUGUCACGUCGGUUGUGAAAGCCCGGGGCUUAACCCCGGGUCUGCAGUCGAUACGGGCUAGCUAGAGUGUGGUAGGGGAGAUCGGAAUUCCUGGUGUAGCGGUGAAAUGCGCAGAUAUCAGGAGGAACACCGGUGGCGAAGGCGGAUCUCUGGGCCAUUACUGACGCUGAGACGCGAAAGCGUGGGGAGCAAACAGG